rnacentral:rRNA from 1 species
UACAGGGGGGGCAAGCGUUGUUCGGAAUUACUGGGCGUAAAGGGCGCGUAGGCGGCUCAUGAAGUCUGUGGUGAAAGUCCGGGGCUCAACCUCGGAUCGGCCGUGGCGACUCGUGGGCUGGAGCACUGUAGAGGCGGGUGGAAUUCCGGGUGUAGCGGUGGAAUGCGUAGAGAUCGGGAAGAACACCAGUGGCGAAGGCGGCCCGCUGGGCAGUGGCUGACGCUGAGGCGCGACAGCGUGGGGAGCAAACAGG